AGAGAGAGAGAAGGAAAGAGUUAAAGCUAAGUGCUGGCCGGGUUUCGUUUGUUGGCGAAUCGGUUAGGACUGACUCGGAAGACAAAGGUUAGACUCCGGUUGAUGGAUUGGUGGCAUAAGAUGAUUUUUCCUAUGAGGAGAGUUUGGGUUGCUGCUGUUGCUCGUGUUAGGUCUCGCAAGAACGGGCGUGGACUUCUGAAACUUCGCAACGAUGUACAAACUUGUGGAUACCAAGAUGUGCAGGUGAUGUGGGAGAUGUUGAGGAGAACAGAAUCCGAGCUGACCACUCACACUACUACCAAACGCAAACAGCGACCCUUUUGGAGAGUCUUGGUUUGGUCCAACAACAGAAGCCCACCAUCUUCACCGAAAUGAGUUCGAGGUCAAAAAUACCUACACAUCUUGCAUACAAAACCUACAAAACAUAUAUAUCCCAUUCCCAUCUCAUGUCAUACACAAAUAAGAUCACUCCACCAUUGUCUCUGAAAUAUAUCUUUGUCCUUUGAAAAUAUCUCAAUGUAUGUACAUAGAUAGCUAUAUUUCUAUCCGGGUUUACCGUUGUUAAGGUUUUUAGCUCUUCUUCUCCCCCACUUCACCUUUAUAGAGUGAUGUUUUGUUAGAUAGACAUACCAGAGAUGUUCAGAAGAGUUUUUGAGGAGCCAUUUUGUUGCAGUUGUGGGAAUGUUCAAAUUGUCUCUACACAGAAAAAAUAAGGCCCUGUGUUUCAAUUGUU